rnacentral:misc_RNA from 1 species
GUUGACUUAUACUGCUGAAAGGUAAGUUUAUAGUGCUUUUCAUAUUUUAAGCUGUUCUAAAGUUUCUGAUAACAUCAAUGAUGUAUAUGGAUUUGAAUUAUAUCUCCUGGUCCUGGUGUAUUACAUAAAAUUACGAAUUUUUAUGAUGUUCUAAAGUUUCUGCUGAAAGGGAUUUAGAGUUUGUAGGUUGAAUUGGCUUCAAUAUACUAACAUAUGAAAGCUAAAUAAUGCCUUUUUGGUGGCAUGGAAUAGCAGGAUCUAUAUCCACCAGUUUCGGGCAGCAGGAAAAUUUUGGUUGUAAGGGUUGUUUAUGUUUUAACUAAUAGAAGGAAAGGUGAGCUGGAUUCCUAAGUUUAGAAAGGAAAGGUGAACUGUGUAUUGAUAGGAAUUAUGAUGUGUUGCUUUGUUUAAGAAGGGAAGAUGAAUUGUGUAUUGGUAGGAAUUAUGAUGUGGUCCUGAUUAAAUCAAUAAAAACAGCUGAGCUUUAACCCGAAAUUAGCUGUAGUCGGCUUUAUGGAUCAUUUUUUGUCAUUCAUCUCUUUUAGACACCAUGUUUGCAUCAAUGUCCUGAUUAAAUCAAUAAUAUAAAAUUUUUGAGAGCUUUUAGCAUUGGGUUGUGAUGAAUGGUAACCUCAGACUGUGUAGCAACAAGUAGAGAGAACGAUAAGGGGGAGAAUACACCACAUAAAUUUGACAGCUCAUGGACCAAUAGUUACAUUUAUUUCAGCUGGAUGUAGAUUUAUAUGGCAUAUGUGUUUGAAUGUGGUUCCUAGUCAUCGAUUUAUGUUGUUUGCUUUAAUGGAUUUCACAUUUGCUUUUAUUUGCUAAUCAUAGGCAACGUGUCACCUAUGUAGCACGGAAAUGGAAAUGAGGAAACGGUAAAACGACAUUUUAAAAAUUAUAGGAAACAGAAAUGUGGGGAAACGUGUAAAUAUAAAAAAUAUAAGGGUAUAUAUAUGUGUGUAUGUGUGUUAUAAAAGAUGUUUAAUGAUAAAUAAAGUCCAAAUCAAUAUUUAAAAUCAAUUAUAAAUAUACAUAUUUAGAAGCUUUAUAUUCAUAAGAAAAAAUAUAAAUUAUUUCAGAUUCAAAUGUUAAAAAAGGAAAAGAUAAUAAAUUUAUGACAUUUUCUAUAUUUCAUUGUCUUGUGCCUUAUCUAUAUUUGUAGUUAUAUUUUUAUUAAAAAAAAAAACUCAAACUUUGGUUCAUCUCGCAAACUCAAGAACUAACUCAUCUUUUAUGCUCUCAAAUUCCUCGCAGCGAGCAUCUUAUAAUUUUGUUUUUUUAUCAUAAUAUUAAGAGGAGUUUAUUGAUAUAAGACAAAGAAUAUUAUGGAUAAAAAUUAAGUACUAUGUAUAUUUUUGAGUUAAUUUAUUCCUUUUACAUGAAUGAAUAAAAGAAUAAAUAUUUCAAUUUCUUUCACAAUAAGAAAAUGAAGUAGGUUCCGAUUUUG